rnacentral:rRNA from 1 species
CAGUCGCCGCGGUAAUACAGAGACUGCGAGCGUUAUUCGGAUUCACUGGGCGUAAAGGGUGCGCAGGCGGCUAAGUGUGUUAGGCGUGAAAGCCCAAGGCUUAACCUGGGAACUGCAUUUGUGACUGGCGAGCUAGAGUAUGGCAGAGGGGGGUAGAAUUCCACGUGUAGCAGUGAAAUGCGUAGAGAUGUGGAGGAAUACCGAUGGCGAAGGCAGCCCCCUGGGCCAAUACUGACGCUCAUGCACGAAAGCGUGGGGAGCAAACAGGAUUAGAUACCCCGGUAGUCCCUGUCUCUUAUAA